AAUGGAGGACUUCCCACUAAAAGAGAUAAAUGAAAUGGAGGCAAGCCAACUAUCAGAUAUUGAAUUCAAAGCAAUGGUUAUAAGGAAGCUCAAUGAACUCACUGAGAAUUACCAAAAAUUACAGGGAAACUGUGAGGAACUUGCUGCAAACUAGAUCAACAUGAUAAAGGACAUAGAAACUAUCAAGAAGAGCCAAGAGGAAAUG